rnacentral:lncRNA from 1 species
GAUAGAGUCAACAUGUAAUGUUGAAAUGAACACGGUAAUGAUGUGAUGUCGUUUUCAGUGAUUUGUCAGAGAAAUAGAUGUUGAAGAUGCAUUAAUUGAUAGUCGUCACAAUCUGUCAGGAGGAUAACGGAUAACAUCGUAUCGUGUUCAGAUGGAAAACUCUCCUUAAAAUGGAACACUCUCCGUGGGAAUAAAACGAUGCCGUAUUGGAUUAAAUAUAACAACAAUAAAGUAGGAAUAAUUUUUAAACUAUGCGAACGUGCUAUAUGCAAAUGGAAUAAUUAUUAAGGUAUAAAACAAUCAAACAGGUUGGUUUUCAAUUCCUGUUUGAAAGGUUAUUGGACAGACGGGAUGCUCCGAUAUAAAAGAAACAGAAACUAAUUUGCGAGUAUGUGUCGAUUGUCGAAUGAUCAAUUGAACAUUGUACCAAAGAAAUGACCGAGAAUCGGGGUAUAAGAGAUUACUGUUAUAUCGGUAUAUAAUAGGACGCAAUCAAGGUGUCAUUCACUUUUUGUGACCGUUGAGGAGACAAACUGUCAUAGCAUUCAUGCA